UACGGAGGGUGCGAGCGUUGUCCGGAAUCACUGGGCGUAAAGGGCGCGUAGGCGGCCUGGUAAGUAGGGGGUGAAAUCCUGCGGCUUAACCGCAGGGCUGCCUUCUAAACUGUCAGGCUGGAGCACAGUAGAGGCAGGUGGAAUUCCCGGUGUAGCGGUGGAAUGCGUAGAGAUCGGGAAGAACAUCAGUGGCGAAGGCGGCCUGCUGGGCUGUUCUUGACGCUGAGGCGCGAAAGCUAGGGUAGCAAACGGG
rnacentral:rRNA from 1 species